GAUGAACGCUGGCGGCGUGCCUAUUACAUGCAAGUCGAGCGAACGGACGAGAAGCUUGCUUCUCUGAUGUUAGCGGCGGACGGGUGAGUAACACGUGGAUAACCUACCUAUAAGACUGGGAUAACUUCGGGAAACCGUAGCUAAUACCGGAUAAUAUUUUGAACCGCAUGGUUCAAAAGUGAAAGACGGUCUUGCUGUCACUUAUAGAUGGAUCCGCGCUGCAUUAGCUAGUUGGUAAGGUAACGGCUUACCAAGGCAACGAUGCAUAGCCGACCUGAGAGGGUGAUCGGCCACACUGGAACUGAGACACGGUCCAGACUCCUACGGGAGGCAGCAGUAGGGAAUCUUCCGCAAUGGGCGAAAGCCUGACGGAGCAACGCCGCGUGAGUGAUGAAGGCCUUCGGAUCGUAAAACUCUGUUAUUAGGGAAGAACAUAUGUGUAAGUAACUGUGCACAUCUUGACGGUACCUAAUCAGAAAGCCACGGCUAACUACGUG
rnacentral:rRNA from 1 species